CUACGUGCCAGCAGCCGCGGUAACACGUAAGGGGCGAGCGUUGUUCGGAAUUAUUGGGCGUAAAGGGCAUGUAGGCGGUUAGGUAAGCCUGAUGUGAAAUCUACGAGCUUAACUCGUAAACUGCAUUGGGUACUGCUUGACUUGAAUCACGGAGGGGAAACCGGAAUUCCAAGUGUAGGGGUGGAAUCUGUAGAUAUUUGGAAGAACACCGGUGGCGAAGGCGGGUUUCUGGCCGAUGAUUGACGCUGAGAUGCGAAGGUGCGGGGAGCAAACAGGAUUAGAUACCCUGGUAGUCCGCACAGUAAACGAUGUACACUAGGUGUUGGGGCAAGAGCUUCAGUGCCUAAGCAAACGCAAUAAGUGUACCGCCUGGGAAGUAUGCCCGCAAGGGUGAAACUCAAAGGAAUUGACGGGGGCCCACACAAGCGGUGGAGCAUGUGGUUUAAUUCGAUGAUACGCGAGGAACCUUACCUGGGUUUGACAUCAAGAGCAAUACUAUAGAGAUAKGUAG
rnacentral:rRNA from 1 species